CGCGCGCCGCUUGAAUCGGCGAAACGAAGAAUUCGGUAUUAGCAGGUCCGAAAAAUAUUCGAUAUGAAGAUUCUCGCGCGUUUUCGUCGUCGAAGCGCCGGGGAAGGAACACCUGGCUCGCGUUCGUCGAUAGAGCCGGAUGUCCUCGGCAGACUAUCAGAAUUUGAUCCUCUUGCCGCGAGUAUUAAGCGGCUCCAUUCGUCGAUCGCGAUGAAAAAUGCCGUAACCGGCUGAGGAACUGCUCGUCGGCUCCCCGUUCCUCUUCCCCCCUCGCCCCUCGGUUACGGGGUAUUACCGAUUUCUUAAUAUCGCGGUGGAGCAGACAUCGGCGAAAUUAAUUCCGUCCUCGGCAGGCGCGCUUGUUCCCGGUGAAAUCGAAUAUUUUAUUAUGGUCUCCGGUGCUCGAACGCCGUCGCCGCGACGGCCGACGACGAGCUGUCGAAGAUCAUCGCGACGGCUUGCACCGACAUCGACGCCCUUUUUGGAAUCCUCCCCGCUCGAAUUUAGCAUCCCCUUCUCGCUGGAAACUUGUCGAAUUUUUAAUCAUUGUACAUACACACCAUCCGCGCGUAAACUCUUCCAAAUGAUCGCUUCAAACUGAUCGUCGCGGCUCUCAAGAGGCCGACCGAAGAGGCCCCACCCCGAAGAAUUUCAUAGAUCACUUUAUGGCCAAUUUAACUUUUUAACGCGUUCGCCGGCAGCCGCGUUAACGCACGUUAGCCCACCCAAUAUUUCGAGAGUCUUGCGGCGGACCUUGCUGCACCGUGCAUCGCAGAGCGGUGGGACAUUUUUAUAUCGAUCUCGCCGGAAGACCCAACCUUCCUGUUCGAACUUCGGCACUUUCAAUUCGCUGCAACGGAGCCGAUUCUUCGAAGGAAUUGGAAUAGAAUGCGACAGUUGUCGAAUGGAAGAGUAUGGAAUUAUUAGACCCAUGAUUGGAGCAUGGUAUUAUUAUUAUUAUUAAUUGUCAAAUGGUAUUAGUAGACUGCGGAUUUCGUGCAUUUAUGU